UGCCUAGUGGCCCAGUGGUCAAGGCGUCUGACUGUUAUUUCACAGAAAAUCAGAAGAUCCCUGGUUCGAUCCCAGGCUAGGCAG